GAUGAACGCUGGCGGCGUGCCUAAUACAUGCAAGUCGAGCGAACAGACGAGGAGCUUGCUCCUCUGACGUUAGCGGCGGACGGGUGAGUAACACGUGUAUAACCUACCUAUAAGACUGGUAUAACUUCGGGAAACCGGAGCUAAUCCCGGAUAAUAUAUUGAACCGCAUGGUUCAAUAGUGAAAGACGGUUUUGCUGUCACUUAUAGAUGGAUCCGCGCCGCAUUAGCUAGUUGGGAAGGUAACGGCCUACCAAGGCAACGAUGCGUAGCCGACCGGAGAGGGUGAUCGGCGACAUGGGAACGGGGACACGGUCCAGGCUCCUACGGGAGGCAGCAGUAGGGAAUCUUCCGCAAUGGGCGAAAGCCUGACGGAGCAACGCGGCGUGAGUGAUGACGGUCUUGGGUUCGUAAAACUCUGUUAUUGGGGAAGAACAAAUGUGUAAGUAACUAUGCACGUCUUGACGGUAACUAAUCAGAAAGCCACGGCUAACUACGUG
rnacentral:rRNA from 1 species